CCCUUAGAUGUUCGGGGCCGCACGCGCGCUACACUGAAGGAAUCAGCACGUCUUUCUCCUUGUCCGAAAGGACUGGGUAACCCGCUGAACCUCCUUCGUGCUAGGGAUUGGGGCUUGUAAUUCUUCCCCAUGAACGAGGAAUUCCCAGUAAGCGCGAGUCAUAAGCUCGCGUUGAUUACGUCCCUGCCCUUUGUACACACCGCCCGUCGCUACUACCGAUUGGAUGGUUUAGUGCGAUCCUCGGAUUGGUCCCGGCGCGGCCUCUGGUCGUGCCGGAGUGCCGAAAAGAAUGUCGAACUUGAUCAUCUAGAGGAAGUAAAAGUCGUAACA
rnacentral:rRNA from 1 species